rnacentral:rRNA from 1 species
ACUCAAAUGAAUUGACGGGGGCCCGCACAAGCGGCGGAGCAUGUGGCUUAAUUCGAUGCAACGCGAAGAACCUUACCUGGGUUUGACAUGCACGGUAAUCCUGUAGAGAUACAGGGUCCUUUGGGGCCGUGUACAGGUGGUGCAUGGCUGUCGUCAGCUCGUGUCGUGAGAUGUUGGGUUAAGUCCCGCAACGAGCGCAACCCUUGUUCCAUGUUGCCAGCGCGUGAUGGCGGGGACUCAUGGGAGACUGCCGGGGUCAACUCGGAGGAAGGUGGGGAUGACGUCAAGUCAUCAUGCCCCUUAUGUCCAGGGCUGCACACAUGCUACAAUGGCUCAUACAGAGGGUUGCGAUGCCGUGAGGUGGAGCGAAUCCCUUAAAGUGAGUCUCAGUUCGGAUCGGGGUCUGCAACUCGACCCCGUGAAGUCGGAGUCGCUAGUAAUCGCAGAUCAGCAACGCUGCGGUGAAUACGUUCCCGGGCCUUGUACACACCGCCCGU